ensembl:misc_RNA 7SK 7SK RNA
GGAUGUGAGGCCGAUCUGGCUGUGACAUCUGUCACCCCAUUAGUCACCAGGGUUGAUUUGGCUGAUCUGGCCAGCUAGGUGGGUGUCCCCUUCCUGCCUCACCACUCCAUGUUCAUCCCUCCCAAAGCUGCACGCUCAGGUGGUCGCUCAGUUGCAGAAGAUGACCAUCCUGACAGAGGACCAAUCUUCCAUCAAGGGUAUAGGAGGAGUAGCUGCGCUCCCCUGCUAGAACCUCCAAAUGAGCUCUCAAAGAUACUAACUGGUUUUCCUGAAGACACACUUCUGGAAGAAAAUGUAACUCGUGUACAGAAUUUUUUACAAAACUAACAUUAAACUCCAUAAAGCAAGUAAAGUAACUUUACCUUUAACCAAGAGUUUUUCCUCAUU